GAUGAACGCUGGCGGCGUGCCUAACACAUGCAAGUCGAACGGAGUCCAGCCUUUAAGCCCUUCUGGUCAAAGCGGGGAAGACUGAGUGGCGGACGGGUGAGUAACCCGUGGGCAACCUGGCUCCUAGAGGGGGCUAACAGAGAGAAAUUUCUGCUAAUACCGCAUAAGCACACACUGCCGCAUGGCAGAGGGUGAAAAGAGAAUCGCUAUGAGAUGGACCCGCGUCUGAUUAGCCAGUUGGCAGGGUAAGAGCCUACCAAAGCGACGAUCAGUAGCCGAUCUGAGAGGAUGAACGGCCACAUUGGGACUGAGACACGGCCCAAACUCCUACGGGAGGCAGCAGUGGGGGAUAUUGCACAAUGGGGGGAACCCUGAUGCAGCGACGCCGCGUGAGUGAAGAAGUAUUUCGGUAUGUAAAGCUCUAUCAGCAGGGAAGAUAAUGACAGUACCUGAAUAAGAAGCCCCGGCUAACUACGUG
rnacentral:rRNA from 1 species